GCCGGGCGGAAUGGCGCAUGCCUGUAAUCCCAGUGGGUUGGGAGGCUGAGUCAGGAGGAUUGCAAGUUCAAAGCCAGCCUCAGCAACAGUGAGGCACUUAGCCACUCAGCAAGACCCUGUCUCUA
rnacentral:sRNA from 1 species